rnacentral:misc_RNA from 1 species
UUAUAAUGUAUAUCUUUUAAAAAUGGCGCCAUCUAUAUAAACUUGAACUUCGUACGAAGUGUAUGUCUAAUCUAACCAUACCCAUGAUCGAAUCUUGAGAUAAAAUUAUACAAUUGUAAAAAAGAAUAACAAAAAUAGUUGCAGAAAGGAAAUGAGUGAUGUCGAAUUACAAGAGGAAGAAAGAGAAGUAUUACUUUCUAUUUAUGAGGGUGAUCCAGCAUUUAAUCAGUUAACACCCACUACCUUUCAGUACAAGUAUGGAGAAGAUAAUGACAUAAAGUCAUUUCUAUUGGAAAUUUCAUGGGGUCCGACAUAUCCGUCUGAAAAGCCAAACAUCAAUAUGAAUAUAUUUUACAAUAAACACAUUGUGCAAGAAGUAAAGGAUGAAAUAGUGAAACAAUUAGAAGCAGAAGCAGAUCAAUGGUUAGGUAGUGCCAUGACGUAUACAUUAUUCCAGUAUGUUCAAGAGCAUUUUACCGAACUGUUAUCUAUGCAACUGGAUUCUAUUACCGAUAUAAAUUUACAAGCCAGUAAACUUAAAAUAUCAAAUGAGAAUCAACAGGCGGAAGAAAUUGUAAAAAGACCAAAGAAAGAACAAUUAAGCAAAGCUCAAAAACGUAGACAAUGGAAUAAAGCAGAUGGAAAAGGAGAAAGACCACGAGGAUGGGAUUGGGUGGACAUAGUAAAACAUUUAUCGCAAACUGGUCCAAAACAAGAACAAGAGUCUUAGUUUACGUUUUCUAAGACUUUAUUGUACAGAUUUACAAAAGGAAACCUGAUGUUGCGUUAAUGCAGCUCUGGUUGCUGCACCGGCUACGCCAACAAUAGAUUUCAUUGCUGUGGAAGCACACAGUACGACCAUUGAAUGAGCUAAGAAAUAAGAAAGAACUUCAAAAUUUAUUACCCAAUGCGACUAAUAAAAAUCGCAUUAACAUAGAAAAACCCGUAGAAGUUACUAAUUUAAAAAGAGAAUCAUCAUCAACGAUACGUUUUCCAUCUCUCUUAACAUUUCCUGGAAUAAAUGAACAAUCAAAUGUUAGAAAAAA